UACAGAGGGUGCAAACGUUGCUCGGAAUUAUUGGGCGUAAAGCGCACGUAGGCGGUUCGUUAAGUCAGAUGUGAAAGCCCCGGGCUCAACUCGGGAAGUGCAUUUGAAACUGGCGAGCUUGAAUAUGGAAGAGGGUCGCGGAAUUCCCGGUGUAGAGGUCGAAAUUCGUAGAUAUCGGGAGGAACACCAGUGGCGAAGGCGGCGACCUGGGCCAAUAGUUCGACGCU
rnacentral:rRNA from 1 species